UACGAAGGGGGCUAGCGUUGUUCGGAAUCACUGGGCGUAAAGCGCACGCAGGCGGAUCGUUAAGUCAGGGGUGAAAUCCCGAGGCUCAACCUCGGAACUGCCUUUGAUACUGGCGAUCUUCGAGUCCGGGAGAGGUGAGUGGAACUCCGAGUGUAGAGGUGAAAUUCGUAGAUAUUCGGAAGAACACCAGUGGCGAAGGCGGCUCACUGGCCUGGUACUGACGCUGAGGUGCGAAAGCGUGGGGAACAAACAGG
rnacentral:rRNA from 1 species